rnacentral:tRNA from 2 species
GCGCGUGUAGCUCAGUUGGUAGAGCAUUCGACUGAUACUCGGGGGGUCCCAGGUUCGAAUCCUGGCACGCGCA